rnacentral:tRNA from 1 species
GCACCCAUAGCUCAGCUGGAUAGAGCACCAGACUACGAAUCUGGGGGUCAGGAGUUCGAAUCUCUUUGGGUGCGCCA